AACGGCUGAGUUGCAACACAAUCGAAUUGCGGGGAAGUCCUAAAGCCUCAGGGUACUAACCUGCUGUAGGAAUGCAGCAGGGGCCUGUGUUAAUCGCACAGGGUAUAGUAACAACCCCGGAGGAUCUAGCCAGGUGUGCUAGAAUGGACGAUCCGCAGCGAAGCCCCUAGACCAGGGGAACGUUCACAGACUAAGUGGUUGUGGGUAGGAGGGACUCCUGCUUAAGAUAUAGUCGGGCCGGCGCGGAAACGCGCUGGGGAUUCGCAAGAACGUAAACCGCUCCGUAGGUGAACCUGCGGAGGGAUC
rnacentral:ncRNA from 1 species